UACGUAGGCAGCAAGCGUUGUUCGGAAUUACUGGGCGUAAAGAGUGUGUAGGCGGUGCUCUAAGUCUGUUGUGAAAUCUCCCGGCUUAACUGGGAGGGUGCGGCGGAAACUGGAGUGCUCGAGUAUGGGAGAGGUAAGCGGAAUUCCUGGUGUAGCGGUGAAAUGCGUAGAUAUCUGGAGGAACACCGGUGGCGAAGGCGGCAUCCUGGACCGAGAUUGACGCUGAGGCGCGAAAGCCAGGGGAGCAAACGGG
rnacentral:rRNA from 1 species